AUACCAUGAUUAGGGCAUUAACGUUGAUACUCUUUGAAACGUUCUCAAGCCUCAAACAAGGAUUCAUCCCUUUUUUUUAAAAAAAGGAUUGAAUCU
rnacentral:snoRNA from 1 species